rnacentral:rRNA from 1 species
GACGAACGCUGGCGGCGUGCUUAACACAUGCAAGUCGACGACGCUACUGAGUAGCAAUAUUUAGUAGUGGAGUGGCGCAAGGGUGAGUAAUGUAUACGUAACCAACCCAUCGGAGACGGAUAACAUUUCGAAAGGGAUGCUAAAACGGCAUGAAGCCACGAUUUCGCAUGAGAUUGUGGUUAAAGAACCGGUAACAGGUUGCCGAUGGCUGGGCGUAUAUCCGAUUAGCUAGUUGGUAGUGUAAUGGACUACCAAGGCGACGAUCGGUAGCUGGUCUGAGAGGAUGAUCAGCCACACUGGCACUGAGACACGGGCCAGACUCCUACGGGAGGCAGCAGUGGGGAAUAUUGGGCAAUGCCCGCAAGGGUGACCCAGCAACGCCGCGUGGAGGAUGAAGGCCGUAAGGUUGUAAACUCUGACAAGCAGGGAAGAACGGCUAUGGUAAAAGGCCAUAGAAGGACGGUACCUGCCUGAAGCCCCGGCUAACUACGUG